rnacentral:rRNA from 1 species
AUUGAACGCUGGCGGCAGGCCUAACACAUGCAAGUCGAGCGAGCGGCGGACGGGUGAGUAAUGUCUGGGAAACUGCCUGAUGGAGGGGGAUAACUACUGGAAACGGUAGCUAAUACCGCAUACCAUCAGAUGUGCCCAGAUGGGAUUAGCUAGUAGGUGGGGGAACGGCUCACCUAGGCGACGAUCCCUUGCUGGUCUGAGAGGAUGACCAGCCACACUGUAACUGAGACACUGUCCAGACUCCUACGGGAGGCAUCAGUGGGUAAUAUUGCACGAUGGGCGCAAUCCUGAUGCAGCCAUGCCGCGUGUUUGAAGAAGGCCUUCGGGUUGUAAAGCACUUUCAUCGGGGAGGCGUUACCCGCAGAAGAAGCACCGGCUAACUCCGUGCCAGCAGCCGCGGUAAUAC